UGGAUCAGCCUCGUCGUCGGCGGCGGCGGCGCGGUGUGCGGGAGGGGAGCCCCGAGGCCCGAGCUUGGUAGGGCUUCGCUCGUCCGGCGGUGGGGCUCGCUCGCGCGCGCUACUUCGCCGUCGUUGCGGUUCGUCGCCCACCCGUUGGCAUCUCCUUCCGCCGCUGCCUCUUCCGGGUGCCGGUCGCCUGCGACUGUUUGCAGCAACGGCUGUAUGGGGAUCGUAAAAGCUUCAACUUGGAGAUGUACCGUAAGUUGGAAGAUGUCAAGAUGCAAUCAACCAAUCUGAAGGACUGCAACUAGAGCAAGCUGGAACAACCAAUCUGCGGAUUUGGCCGACGGGUUCAGACUCCAGAAACUCACUGUACACCUGCUGUUUCGUUCGUCUCCGGCCCCGGUUUCUUCAUGUUCUUCCCUGACACAAUGGGUUGUCGACUGUUCCUACAAACUGGUGCUAGCUGCUGCCUGCAAAUGCAGAGCAUCAGCUUGCUCUUCUCACUGAAGAAGCAGCUGUUUAGGUCACUCUGCUGCCGACCUCUCCGGUGCCGGCCUCAGAUGUCCAGCCAGUUGCUUCAGUGCAAACGCGUAGUGCCUUAGGCCGCGUUCGGAGGACAUAGGUAAGUUAACUUAUGUCGGCACGAAAAACGUAGUAAUAGAU